rnacentral:lncRNA from 1 species
UUCCAUUAAAAAUUGACUUGCAUUGGCAGUUAAUGCAUUUUUGCUGCCGCUUUUUGAGCCAGAUACAAGCUUGCCAAGCGAGGAGACUCGAUUCCUCUUGGCUCAAUGAAUCCUAGAGUCUCAUUCCCAGUGCUUCCCAGCGAUUGUAUCGUGUUUCCAAUGGCCCAGUUUGCUGCUUGUGGAGGUUUCACAACUUCCAACACUUUGGUGUGACAGUUCCACACAACACUAAAUCCAGAAGUAUAGCCAUGAUGUUUGUAUGGCCUAUUGCGCAGGCUGAUCGUCCCAUUUUCAAACUUCAUGCUGUCAUACAGGAUCCCAGUUGCAAAAUGAGCGUGAGGCUCCGCGUGUGAGCUCCCAUAUGCGGUGCUGUUAAAGAAAACAUUUGGACCAUUUGCUUGGUCCCGGGUCAUGUAGCUGAACUGGGAGCUUCCUCCUUGGAUGACGCUGUUCUUGACGAGGAUCUGGGAGCCUGGAAAGGCAAUGGCGAGAUCAGCAAAUUUUGGACCUUUCAUCGGGCCCGGAAUAGUCCGGAUGAGAUUCAAGCCCUCGACUGUGAUCCUCUUUCCAGUGACAGUCAUGGUAUCGCCUCCAAAGUCGACAGCCACGACAUUUCUCACCCAAGAGUCCUCCACCUGAGCGAUGUUGAGAAAGGUGCCACGGCCGACAGGGAGAACUUUGUCCUGGACAGCCUUGAAGUUCUCGAGACCGACGUGGGAUACUCGUCCAGAGAUCUCCACCUUGACCAAAUAAGCCGGCUGUGACGAGCUCAGGUACCUGAGAUCAACACGAAAUGGAACCGGGAUGUCGAGAAACACCAUGUUCUUUUCGCCGUUAACUCUGGAAACUCUGCGCUCGAUGGAAGUAACCGCAAAGUUUCCCCAUCUCUCGCUCAUAUUCAUCAUCUGGAUCCACCUGGAAGUCAUCGGCCAGACGAUCGAGACGAGAUCGCCGGGUUUGAAUCCACAAGACGAGUCGAGCUUCACAUAGUUAGAACCGGAGGGAACAGUCUCGACAAUAGCAGCUCUGUGACCAACCUCUGUGAUGGUUUGCUGUGGACUCUCGACUGAGAACAAAGCGUGGACGUCCAUGCCAUCCUCGGCUAUGGAAACAUUUGCGUGGAGGAUGGUUUCGCUACUGCUGCUCCCGGUGAUGAGAAUUCCACUGGUGUUGAUGGUGAAGUGGUGGCCUCGAACGUCGAAAUUUCCACUUGAGAGCUGGAUUGCUCCCCGGAAACCUGUGCAGGGAUCGAGUGGCAAGGAGGAGAGCUCGUUGAUGGCAUGCUGGAUGGAUUCACCGUCGCUCUUGUUGGUGUCUUUACAGUUGCGAGCAGGAUAGAGGACAACUUUCACUGGUACCUCUGGCAGUUUGGCAUCUCUUCCCAAGUAUCCCACCGACGAAAAAUCCAUGAUCGUGUCACCUGCAUUGGUGGGUUUGUAGACGAGUUUGCUGGUGUUGGCGUCAAGAGAUACCCAGUAGAUUGGAACGCCUUGAGUUACAUGUAGGCAAGAAAAUAUUGCGAUCAUGAAGAGCACAGAAAGAGCCAUUUUUGCUCGAGCUUCCCUGAUUUUUUCUCUUUGAUUCAUAGUUCGUACAGGAAAUGAUAUAGUCACUCUUGCUUUGGACUUUAGCCUGGAACUAAUGACAACGUCAUGUCUGAUGAAAAGAUCGAGACAAAAUGCAGGCCAAGUGAGAAAGACUUUUAACUUAACCAUCAUUUUCAAAGUGAUGAAACCUCGUCGUACAUGUGGAAUAAUUUUCCUCUUGGAGAUUCUGGAAAUGGAUUGUGUCGUGGAAUGCUCUGGACCAAACUGGCAAUUGAAAAGGCUUAAUCUUGGGCAAAUGCUGCAAUGACGGUGUUCCAUGAUGUUCUAUCCUGUUCGGGCAUUUUGUAAACCAUUACUUCUAAAUAGAGGACGAAUCAUGGCAUCUCGCGAGGUCCAGAAAAGAAAUCUUGAUUAAUAAUCUGAUUAUUAGCUGAAGGCUAUAAACACGAUCACUAACACCAGCUAUUUACUAUUAGUAAUGGGAUUCAAACCCAUGCCCUUGCAGACUAGUACCUGAAACUAGAGGCUUAGAUCAACUCGAAAUUGUACAAAUGCAUUUUCACAUCCAAGGUUUAUCAUUGUUAGCACUUGAUUGAAACCAAUUUCUUUGUAAACUGACUAUGCCUACAGUGGAUAAAGUGUAAGAAAACCAACUAUGUCUACUAUGGACAGUGAUUAUUGAACAUUUUAUUUGAUCUAAUUGAAUUAUAAAUUUAUCAUUUGGUAAAUUGAUUAAUCAAUUCAUGAGCUUAUAUUCAUGAGUUGAUUUAUCACUUCAUGAUGUUUCUGGGUUGCCUAUAUUUAAAAUUUUGAACUAAAUAUAGUUAUUAAUAUAUCUAGCUAUUUUUCUUAUUUUAAAAUUAACUAAUAUCAAUAUCAAGUAUUGAACCUUAAUUCUACUGUAAAAACCUAAAUAAAACCACUUAUUCAUAGGGGUUUAAAUAUAAAGGGAAAGGGUUUAUAGAAAAAAAUUAAUCUUUUCUAAUGCAUUGUGCAGAAAUGACAAUCUAAUGGACAGUCUAGAUAUUAUAGCAUCGUUGCUUGAUACUCACUUGGAAUUUAAAAUUGAAAAAGAGAAUUCAAAGCUCAGAUAGGCUAAAAAUAUUUGGAAGAUUUUGCAUGAUCAAUGAGUUCCUUCCACUUCCAUGACUAAUAUCCAGCUGCAUCACAACAAAAGAAGACUAUGAACUUGAAAGUCAAAUUAAAAGAUAUUUAGGGUUAAGUGUAUUAAUUUUAAAUAGUAUUGGGUUGAGUUACGAUACUUGAGGUUAAAUGUUCUUAAAUUUGAAUAGUGACCUCUUAAGAAGUAUAAAUUUAAGAAUUUACACUACUAAGAUGUGAAUGCAACCUAUAAAAGCCUUAAGGAAAGAAUACUAGCCAGAAAAAAAAGCACCAUAAAGCAAGAUAUUUAUAUGAAAUGUUACAAGCCUUAAACCAACUCCUCUCUACACUCUAAAUAUUAAACACAACAUCCCAGCCACAAAUGCUUAAUUGCAAGUCACUUUAAGCAUUAUUAAAGAUCCUUUCACACCACCUAACCACCUCACCUCCAAACCUUAUACCAUGAGUUUUUUUGUUUCCUAACAUUAAAUAACACAACUAUAUCACUCUAUAGCCAUCUUGGAUGUAAUGUUUAUUACAUUCUACACACCUAUUUGAUGUUAUCUUUUGCAUGCCUAAAGGUUGAAGUCUUGCUUUACUUCUUCAGCCCUUUAUAGAACCUUCACCAUCAUACUUGGAAACUUAACCAAAGUGAAGUAGUUGGUCUAAUAAUUCUCCAGUAUUUUAAACUCUAUGAUUUAUAAUAAAUUCACCAAUAAACUAUUAUGAUCAAUCAACUAUUGAAUUGAUGAAACAAAUCAUCAAUUAUCAAAGCAUUCAUUGAUCAAUUAAAUCAUGAACUGAUCAAUCAACUCAUGAUUUGAUCAAUUUAUAAUUCAAUUUAACUAUAAUUGAUCAAUAAUCAAGCACACUUUUUCCACUAUAGCCUUCUUUACUGGAUAAUUCAGCAAGAUGGCUUGGUGUUGCAAAAUGUUUAAGAGUGUGUUCAUUCACACAUUGGCAAUUUCAUUUUUAGACAGCUGAAUUUCUUAUUGAAAAGCUGAUAGAUAACACUUGAAUCAGUUGUAACUUAUCAUGUCAUGAUACAAGCCUGCCAAGAAUUGCGGGACUUGUUUGGGUUGGGCAGAAUUAGGUACCCAGGCGAAAAAUGGGCCCCUUGCCCUAGUGGGCUUGCAAGAGUUUUGUAAACUCUAGAACCAAGAUGGAGAUCUUAGUACAAACAAAGCAAGUGAAGAUUGAAAGGCUUCGGAAUGCACUUCUUGCUUGCUGUGGAACUAUGGAUACAAUCCUUCAGGAGGAGGAAGAGGAAGAGGCGGAAUCCAGCCGGCACUCUUCGGCAGACGAGAGCUCCGAUGACGAGGUACGAAUGGUGCUUAAUACCAGUGGAUUCUUUUGCACAGGAGAACCACUACGCAAGUUUUGCUCAAUGCUCAGUGCUUGGGCCCUGGGGCUGAGCUAGAAGUGAGAAAGUUGUGGAUCUCUGCUUGUGAGCAUUUGUUUUGAACAGCAACAACAACUGACCAGUUGUUUUGAAGUGCAAAGAACAAUGUCCCUUCAUUGUAUGCAACAGUUUGUUUUAGAAAUUCAUCACAUCUGGCAAAUGCAUAGUUUAACUACAAGACUUCACAAUUGUAUCUUUCACCAACCAAUCCACUCUAAUCUUCAUAGGUAUUACUUUAUUCUCUUCUUUUCCUUCUGUUGAAUCACUUUUAGUUCUUGUUCAACAACAAAAGCAUUUGUAGAUUGUGGUGGCUUCUUCACAUCUUGCCCAGAAACAUCUUAUAAUGAUGGCACAACACGCUGGACAAUGGCCUUCCUCAUGCCUCAAGUCUUAUGCUAAACCUCCCAAGGUUGUGAUCUUGUGAGAGAAAUGAUACCAAUCAAAUUAAUUGCUAUGGCAAGUUUCACCUGCGGAAGUAUCUCCACAGUUAUAAGUACCAUUGGCUGCUUGGAUAAAAAAUGUCAAUGGGGAACUCUAGAUGUGUGAUUGGCUUGGAUUGGUCUUUAGAGUUUAGUUCUGUUAGGUUGAUUUUAUGUAUACUGUUCUAGAAGGAAUAGGCCAGAUUACUUGACAUAUGAGAAAAAAUUGGUAUGUAAGGAUAUGUCAAUAUGGUCAUUACCCUUAAUUUAUUAACUUAAGUUUUGAAGAAUUUUCGUAAGUUUAAAACUUAACCCCCUGUUUACCUUAAAGUGUUUUGAUUCAUACUUUAACAAACCCUUGUUGAAUCAAGUCUCCCCCUCUAACUCCCAUCUUUCAAGCUCCAAAGCCCCACAAUUCAUGUGGGAUUUUGAUUGGUCCCAGAAUUUUUCACAAGUUUUCGCAGAAUUUCUCGUGGCACAGUGCAAAGAUCCUUCAUGGGUCAUCAAGCACUAGAAGAACAUUUAGGUGUGAGAUUGGAACCACGAUAGAGAGCCAAAAACAGAUCUAGCGACUGGUGGAGGUCAAUUUGAAUGAGAGAUCCCUUGAUCUAGAGCUGAUUGAAGCAUGCUGAGUAAGAGAGAGUUGGAUAGGUUGAGAUCAAGUGGCAGUGCUAGAUUUGCGCACUAUCUUGCGUGAUUAGCAGCCCAAAUCUCCUUGCAGCAAUCAAAGAGCUCUUAAUGGAAUAAUGGCAAGUUAAGUGACUUAACUUCUGUAGCUUCCUAAAAUUUAAGGGUAAAGGUAAAUAUAAGGGAUAUACAUAAGCAUUGAUACAUAGCUUAAAGGUUUAUGUGAAACCAAAUUACUUAAACAAUCACUUUUAACUUUAAGGGUAAGGGUCAGUGCAAAAAAGCCCUAAUACCAAAGUAAUAUUAUACUCAUAGUUAGGCAUACAAUGGUCCAAAUGUAGGUAGAGGGUUUGGCACUGGAUGAUAACCAAAACUUAUCAUCCAAAAUUGUACUGAAAAUAUUGGACCAAAGAAGCAUGCUUUCCAUUGUGAACAACCUUAUUAAGGAAUUUGAAGUGAUUUUUUGUUUUGACUAGUUUGAUUUGAUGUGGAAGUAUUUUUUUAAAUAACAAAACUUUACAGUGGAACAUUUUUGUUAGUUCUCAUAUUUUUGUUCAGAAGUUUCAAUUUUUGCAGCUGCUUUUUGGGCCAAAUACAGACUUGCCAAGCGAUGAGACUCAAUUCCUCUUGGCUCGAUAAAUCCUGGAGUCUCAUCCCCAAUGCUUCCCAGAGAUUGAGUGGUGCCUCCAAUGGCCCAGUUUGCUGCUUGUGGAGGUUUCACAACUUCCAACACCUUGGUGUGACAGUUCCACACAACACUA